rnacentral:rRNA from 1 species
CCCUUAGAUGUUCUGGGCUGCACGCGCGCUACACUGAUGCACUCAACGAGUUUACGACCUUGCCCGAUAGGGUUGGGUAAUCUUUUUAAAAUGCAUCGUGAUGGGGAUAGAUUAUUGCAAUUAUUAAUCUUCAACGAGGAAUUCCUAGUAAGCGCGAGUCAUCAGCUCGCGUUGAUUACGUCCCUGCCCUUUGUACACACCGCCCGUCGCUACUACCGAUUGAAUGGUUUAGUGAGGACUCCUGAUUGGCGCCGCCGCCCCGGCAACGGAGCAGCGGACUGCCGAAAAGUUGUUCAAACUUGAUCAUUUAGAGGAAGUAAAAGUCGUAACA